ensembl:snRNA U2 U2 spliceosomal RNA
AUAGCUUCUUGGUCUUUUGGCUAAGAUCAAGUGUAGUAUCUGUUCUUAUUAGUUUAAUAUUUGAUAUGUCCUCUAUUUGAGGACUAUAUAGUAAAUUGAUUUUUGGACCUGGGAGAUGGAAUAGGGGCUUGCUUCAUCCACUCCAUGCAUCGACCUGAUAUUGCAGUGCCUCCAGGAACAGUGCACCAAAA